CGGGUGCACUGAUCCAGCCGGGCCUUUCCCUCUGUGGAACCCCAUGGCCUUCACUGGCUGUGGUGGGGAAACAGGACUUUUACUUUGAAAAAAUUAGAGUGCUCCAGGCAGGCCUAUGCUCGAAUACAUUAGCAUGGAAUAAUAGAAUAGGACGUGUGGUUCUAUUUUGUUGGUUUCUAGGACCGCCGUAAUGAUUAAUAGGGACAGUCGGGGGCAUCAGUAUUCAAUUGUCAGAGGUGAAAUUCUUGGAUCUAUUGAAGACUAACUACUGCGAAAGCAUUUGCCAAGGAUGUUUUCAUUGAUAAGGAACGAAAGUUAGGGGAUCGAAGACGAUCAGAUACCGUCGUAGUCUUAACUAUAAACUAUGCCGACUAGGGAUCGGACGAUGUUAUUCUUUGACGCGUUCGGCACCUUUCGAGAAAUCAAAGUGCUUGGGGCUCCAGGGGGAGUAUGGUCGCAAGGCUGAAACUUAAAGAAAUUGACGGAAGGGCACCACCAGGGGUGGAACCUGCGGCUUAAUUUGACUCAACACGGGGAAACUCACCAGGUCCAGACACAGUGAGGAUUGACAGAUUGAGAGCUCUUUCUUGAUUCUGUGGGUGGUGGUGCAUGGCCGUUCUUAGUUGGUGGAGUGAUUUGUCUGCUUAAUUGCGAUAACGAACGAGACCUUAACCUGCUAAAUAGCCCGUACUGCUUUGGCAGUUCGCCGGCUUCUUAGAGGGACUAUCGG
rnacentral:rRNA from 1 species